rnacentral:rRNA from 1 species
ACCCUGGUAGUCCACGCUGUAAACGAUGUCGACUUGGAGGUUGUGCCCUUGAGGCGUGGCUUCCGGAGCUAACGCGUUAAGUCGACCGCCUGGGGAGUACGGCCGCAAGGUUAAAACUCAAAUGAAUUGACGGGGGCCCGCACAAGCGGUGGAGCAUGUGGUUUAAUUCGAUGCAACGCGAAGAACCUUACCUACUCUUGACAUCCACGGAAUUCGCCAGAGAUGGCUUAGUGCCUUCGGGAACCGUGAGACAGGUGCUGCAUGGCUGUCGUCAGCUCGUGUUGUGAAAUGUUGGGUUAAGUCCCGCAACGAGCGCAACCCUUAUCCUUUGUUGCCAGCACGUAAUGGUGGGAACUCAAAGGAGACUGCCGGUGAUAAACCGGAGGAAGGUGGGGAUGACGUCAAGUCAUCAUGGCCCUUACGAGUAGGGCUACACACGUGCUACAAUGGCAUAUACAAAGAGAAGCGAACUCGCGAGAGCAAGCGGACCUCAUAAAGUAUGUCGUAGUCCGGAUUGGAGUCUGCAACUCGACUCCAUGAAGUCGGAAUCGCUAGUAAUCGUAGAUCAGAAUGCUACGGUGAAUACGUUCCCGGGCCUUGUACACACCGCCCGUCACACCAUGGGAGUGGGUUGCAAAAGAAGUAGGUAGCUUAACCUUCGGGAGGGCGC